AUUGAACGCUGGCGGCAGGCCUAACACAUGCAAGUCGAGCGGAUGACGGGAGCUUGCUCCUUGAUUCAGCGGCGGACGGGUGAGUAACGCCUAGGAAUCUGCCUGGUAGUGGGGGACAACGUUUCGAAAGGAACGCUAAUACCGCAUACGUCCUACGGGAGAAAGCAGGGGACCUUCGGGCCUUGCGCUAUCAGAUGAGCCUAGGUCGGAUUAGCUAGUUGGUGGGGUAAUGGUCCACCAAGGCGACGAUCCGUAACUGGUCUGAGAGGAUGAUCAGUCACACUGGAACUGAGACACGGUCCAGACUCCUACGGGAGGCAGCAGUGGGGAAUAUUGGACAAUGGGCGAAAGCCUGAUCCAGCCAUGCCGCGUGUGUGAAGAAGGUCUUCGGAUUGUAAAGCACUUUACGUUGGGAGGAAGGGCAGUAAGUUAAUACCUUGCUGUUUUGACGUUACCGACAGAAUAAGCACCGGCUAACUCUGUGCCAGCAGCCGCCGUAAAAC
rnacentral:rRNA from 1 species